rnacentral:rRNA from 1 species
AUUGAACGCUGGCGGCAUGCCUUACACAUGCAAGUCGAACGGUAACAGGUUAAGCUGACGAGUGGCGAACGGGUGAGUAAUGUAUCGGAACGUGCCCAGUCGUGGGGGAUAACUGCUCGAAAGAGCAGCUAAUACCGCAUACGACCUGAGGGUGAAAGCGGGGGAUCGCAAGACCUCGCGCGAUUGGAGCGGCCGAUAUCAGAUUAGGUAGUUGGUGAGGUAAAGGCUCACCAAGCCGACGAUCUGUAGCUGGUCUGAGAGGACGACCAGCCACACUGGGACUGAGACACGGCCCAGACUCCUACGGGAGGCAGCAGUGGGGAAUUUUGGACAAUGGGCACAAGCCUGAUCCAGCCAUGCCGCGUGCGGGAAGAAGGCCUUCGGGUUGUAAACCGCUUUUGUCAGGGAAGAAAAGGUUCUGGCUAAUACCUGGGACUCAUGACGGUACCUGAAGAAUAAGCACCGGCUAACUACGUG